rnacentral:rRNA from 1 species
UGGGGAAUAUUGGACAAUGGGCGCAAGCCUGAUCCAGCCAUGCCGCGUGAGUGAUGAAGGCCCUAGGGUUGUAAAGCUCUUUCACCGGUGAAGAUAAUGACGGUAACCGGAGAAGAAGCCCCGGCUAACUUCGUGCCAGCAGCCGCGGUAAUACGAAGGGGGCUAGCGUUGUUCGGAUUUACUGGGCGUAAAGCGCACGUAGGCGGACUAUUAAGUCAGGGUUGAAAUCCCGGUGCUCAACCCCGGAACUGCCUUUGAUACUGGUAUUCUUGUGUUCGAGACAGGUGAGUGGAAUUCCUGGUUGAGAGGUGAAAUUCGUAGUUAUUCGGAGGCACUCCAGUGGCGAAGGCGGCUCACUGGCUCGAUACUGACGCUGAGGUGCGAAAGCGUGGGGAGCAAACAGG